rnacentral:lncRNA from 1 species
CUGUUGGAAGCAUCAAGACGGAUAGGAGGUUUGAUACCUUUAUUUAGCAAAACAUUAUGAUCUUGUGAAAACAUUUCUAAAUAUAGGUAUCUUUUUAUCAAGACAAUCUUGAUGUUUUUUUUUUAUUUUUGCUUUUGUCCCAAAGAAAAAACAAAUCCUUUGCUCUUAUUUUUAUAUAUACAACAAUCUGCACAUUCAAUCAAGAUUUAGAAAACAUAAUUGCACGUGUCCCACAGGAUCCGAUCCAAUAAUGAAUGACGACUAAGAAAAAAUAGUGAAACAUUUUUAUUUUUUUCGACCAAAAAUAAAUAUUUAUUAGAGGAGUUAUAUAUAUCCAUGCAUGGGUGGCACGUCCCCUUAGGCCUUAAUCCCCUUCAUUUUCCAUGAGAUCGAUCGAUCGAAUAAUAGACUUAUGAG